rnacentral:rRNA from 1 species
GAUGAACGCUGGCGGCGUGCCUAAUACAUGCAAGUCGAGCGAACGGACGAGAAGCUUGCUUUUCUGAUGUUAGCGGCGGACGGGUGAGUAACACGUGGAUAACCUACCUAUAAGACUGGGAUAACUUCGGGAAACCGGAGCUAAUACCGGAUAAUAUUUUGAACCGCAUGGUUCAAAAGUGAAAGACGGUCUUGCUGUCACUUAUAGAUGGAUCCGCGCUGCAUUAGCUAGUUGGUAAGGUAACGGCUUACCAAGGCAACGAUGCAUAGCCGACCUGAGAGGGUGAUCGGCCACACUGGAACUGAGACACGGUCCAGACUCCUACGGGAGGCAGCAGUAGGGAAUCUUCCGCAAUGGGCGAAAGCCUGACGGAGCAACGCCGCGUGAGUGAUGAAGGUCUUCGGAUCGUAAAACUCUGUUAUUAGGGAAGAACAUAUGUGUAAGUAACUGUGCACAUCUUGACGGUACCUAAUCAGAAAGCCACGGCUAACUACGUGCCAGCAGCCGCGGUAAUACGUAGGUGGCAAGCGUUAUCCGGAAUUAUUGGGCGUAAAGCGCGCGUAGGCGGUUUUUUAGUCUGAUGUGAAAGCCCACGGCUCAACCGUGGAGGGUCAUUGGAAACUGGAAAACUUGAGUGCAGAAGAGGAAAGUGGAAUUCCAUGUGUAGCGGUGAAAUGCGCAGAGAUGUGGAGGAACACCAGUGGCGAAGGCGACUUUCUGGUCUGUAACUGACGCUGAUGUGCGAAAGCGUGGGGAUCAAACAGGAUUAGAUACCCUGGUAGUCCACGCCGUAAACGAUGAGUGCUAAGUGUUAGGGGGUUUCCGCCCCUUAGUGCUGCAGCUAACGCAUUAAGCACUCCGCCUGGGGAGUACGACCGCAAGGUUGAAACUCAAAGGAAUUGACGGGGGCCCGCACAAGCGGUGGAGCAUGUGGUUUAAUUCGAAGCAACGCGAAGAACCUUACCAAAUCUUGACAUCCUUUGACAACUCUAGAGAUAGAGCCUUCCCCUUCGGGGGACAAAGUGACAGGUGGUGCAUGGUUGUCGUCAGCUCGUGUCGUGAGAUGUUGGGUUAAGUCCCGCAACGAGCGCAACCCUUAAGCUUAGUUGCCAUCAUUAAGUUGGGCACUCUAAGUUGACUGCCGGUGACAAACCGGAGGAAGGUGGGGAUGACGUCAAAUCAUCAUGCCCCUUAUGAUUUGGGCUACACACGUGCUACAAUGGACAAUACAAAGGGCAGCGAAACCGCGAGGUCAAGCAAAUCCCAUAAAGUUGUUCUCAGUUCGGAUUGUAGUCUGCAACUCGACUACAUGAAGCUGGAAUCGCUAGUAAUCGUAGAUCAGCAUGCUACGGUGAAUACGUUCCCGGGUCU